GGUUGGAUCUGCCGGGACCCCACUGCUAUCGAGAUGGGACUAAGCCAUGCUAGUCGCGCGCGUCCAACCACGAGGACGAGCGGCAUACCGCUCAGUAACACGUAGCUAACCUACCCUCGGGUCGAGGAUACCCCCGGGAAACUGGGGCUAAUCCACGAUAGGUGUGGAGGCCUGGAAUGGUUCCACGCUCAAAUGGACGGCAGUCACGUUUGUCGUCUGCCCGAGGAUGGGGCUGCGGCCGAUCAGGCAGUUGGCGAGGUAAUAGCUCACCAAACCUUUGACCGGUACGGGCCAUGAAAGUGGUAGCCCGGAGAUGGGCACUGAGACAGGGGCCCAGGCCCUACGGGGCGCAGCAGGCGCGAAAACUCCACAAUGUACGGAAGUACGAUGGGGUUAUCUCGAGUGCAGUCCGAUAAGGGUUGCUCUUCCAUAGAGUAAUAUCCUGUGGGAAUAAGAGGGGGGCAAGACUGGUGUCAGCCGCCGCGGUAACACCAGCCCCUCGAGUGGUGGGGACUUUUAUUUGGCCUAAAGCGUCCGUAGCUGGCUGUAUCCGUUUCCCGGUAAAUCCGGCGUCCUAAGCGUCGGGCUUCGGGUAAUACCAUACAGCUAGAGGGUGGGAUAGGUGAGCGGUAUUUCUGGGGUAGGGGCGAAAUCCUUUGAUCCCAGGAGGACCACCAGUGGCGAAGGCUGCUCACUAGAACACGCCUGACGGUCAGGGACGAAAGCUGGGGCAGCGAACCGGAUUAGAUACCCGGGUAGUCCCAGCUGUAAACGAUGCUAGCUAGGUGUUGGGUCGGCCACGCGCCGCCCCAGUGCCGCAGGGAAGCCGUUAAGCUAGCCGCCUGGGGAGUACGGCCGCAAGGCUGAAACUUAAAGGAAUUGGCGGGGGAGCACCACAAGGGGUGAAGCUUGCGGUUUAAUUGGAUUCAACGCCGGGA
rnacentral:rRNA from 1 species